rnacentral:tRNA from 1 species
GGGGAUAUAGCUCAGCUGGGAGAGCGCCUGCCUUGCACGCAGGAGAUCAGCGGUUCGAUCCUGCUUAUCUCCACCA